rnacentral:rRNA from 1 species
AGUCCCCUACGGGGCGCAGCAGUAGGGAAUUUUCGUCAAUGGGCGCAAGCCUGAACGAGCAAUGCCGCGUGAACGAGGAAGGUCUUCGGAUCGUAAAGUUCUGUUGAAGGGGAAAAAGAGCGGAGAGAGGAAAUGGUCUCCGAUUGUUAUUACCCUUCGAGGAAGUCACGGCUAACUACGUGCCAGCAGCCGCGGUAAUACGUAGGUGGCGAGCGUUAUCCGGAAUGAUUGGGCGUAAAGGGUGCGUAGGCGGCCUGCUAAGUCUGGAGUGAAAGGCACCGGCUCAACCGGUACAGGACCUGGAA